GACGAACGCUGGCGGCGUGCCUAAUACAUGCAAGUCGAGCGAAUGGAUUAAGAGCCUGCUCUUAUGAAGUUAGCGGCGGACGGGUGAGUAACACGUGGGUAACCUGCCCAUAAGACUGGGAUAACUCCGGGAAACCGGGGCUAAUACCGGAUAACAUUUUGAACCGCAUGGUUCGAAAUUGAAAGGCGGCUUCGGCUGUCACUUAUGGAUGGACCCGCGUCGCAUUAGCUAGUUGGUGAGGUAACGGCUCACCAAGGCAACGAUGCGUAGCCGACCUGAGAGGGUGAUCGGCCACACUGGGACUGAGACACGGCCCAGACUCCUACGGGAGGCAGCAGUAGGGAAUCUUCCGCAAUGGACGAAAGUCUGACGGAGCAACGCCGCGUGAGUGAUGAAGGCUUUCGGGUCGUAAAACUCUGUUGUUAGGGAAGAACAAGUGCUAGUUGAAUAAGCUGGCACCUUGACGGUGCCUAACCAGAAAGCCACGGCUAACUACGUGCCAGCCGCCGCAGUAA
rnacentral:rRNA from 1 species